GCACCUUCUAUGGAUGUGCGUUCCUCCUACAAGUAUGGGGUUGGUGGAGACUGCCGACGCUAUCCCCUGCAGGCAGGAACAACUACACGUUCCCUUAUGCAACAAGGUUCUGUGGUCCUAAAUUGGAUUACAGUAAGAAUCCGAGGGGGAGUGUUAUUUUGUAUCGGGACCUAAUUGAUCACCUCCGAGCUGAAGAUUUUAAUUGGAGACCAUACUUGUUGCUAGACCAUGAGCCAAACGAGAGUGACCGGGAAGUUUGGACUACAGUGACACCUAUAAUAAGGUUCAACAUCGUGGAGAUGCACCAAUCUGAC